UACAGAGGGGGCGAGCGUUGUUCGGAAUCAUUGGGCGUAAAGGGCGCGUGGGUGGUUCUGUGUGUCUACUGUGAAAGCGUACGGCUCAACCGUAUUUAGUCGGUAGAAACUGCAGGACUUGAGGCUGGGAGGGGCUGGUGGAAUUCCCUGUGUAGCGGUGAAAUGCGUAGAGAUGGGGGAGAACACUCGUGGCGAAGGCGGCCAGCUAGACCAGUUCUGACACUGAGGCGCGACAGCGUGGGGAGCAAACAGG
rnacentral:rRNA from 1 species